UGAAGCGAUGAGACCAGAAGAAAGUAAUGAAGUCGGGAAGGAUUCUAUCAAUUUAGAUCAGACCUCAAGGCAAGCUCUCCAAAACAAACUCAACUUCUACAAGAAUAAUGUAAUUACACAAUCAGAACAGGUCUCUGAGCUAAAACCCCCAGAAGCCUCCAGAUGACAUCGGCCCUCCCUCCACCCCCCAGGGGAAUCGUCUAGGGUGGGGUCAUCCGACAGGUGCAAAAAUGAUAAUCCUUGAUGUGUAAAGACGAUCAACGUGGUUUCAUCAAAUCAAGAUUUGGUCUUCUGGCUCUACUUCUCCAAGACUUCAAGCAUUUCUUCCAGGUUAUCCUGCUACUCUUCCAAUCUUCUGAGAAUAUAAAUGCAAGUCCAUGCUCAUAAAGCUUGUAAUCAAAUACUGUGAAGUGAGAAACUUGCUCCCAUUCGAUCAAAUAUCAUGAUUUCAGGACUUAUAACAGCAGCUUAUAAGCCGUAACUGAUCUUUGUUUAUUGAUGAAAAAGAAAAAGUUUCAAUGAUAUUAAGGGGAAAAUUUCUAUGACAAAUUGUUGUCAAUUAAUAAAGCUUCAAUUCAGUUUGCUCUUAAUGUUUUAUUUUGUUAUUAGAACAGAGGGUGUUUCAUAAAGCUGUUCGUAAUGUUA